rnacentral:rRNA from 1 species
AUUGAACGCUGGCGGCAGGCCUAACACAUGCAAGUCGAACGGAGUGGCGAACGGGUGAGUAACACGUGGGUGACCUGCCCUGCAAUUCGGGAUAAGCCUGGGAAACUGGGUCUAAUACCGGAUAGUGGGGGAGGGGCCCGCGGACUAUCAGCUUGUUGGUGGGGUAAUGGCCUACCAAGGCGGCGACGGGUGGCCGGCCUGAGCGGGUGACCGGCCACAUUGGGACUGAGACACGGCCCAGACUCUGACGGGAGGCAGCAGUGGGGAAUAGUGCACAAUUGGCGGAAGCCUGAUGCAGCGACGCCGCGUGGGGGAUGACGGCCUUCGGGUUGUAAACUCCUUUCACCAUCGACGCGGUAGAUGGAGAAGAAGCACCGGCUAACUACGUGCCAGCAGCCGCGGUAAUUC